CUGUAAGCCUGUGAAGGUGUGCUGUGAGGCAUGCUGGAGGUAUCAGAAGUGCGAAUGCUGACAUAAGUAACGAUAAAGCGGGUGAAAAGCCCGCUCGCCGGAAGACCAAGGGUUCCUGUCCAACGUUAAUCGGGGCAGGGUGAGUCGACCCCUAAGGCGAGGCCGAAAGGCGUAGUCGAUGGGAAACAGGUUAAUAUUCCUGUACUUGGUGUUACUGCGAAGGGGGGACGGAGAAGGCUAUGUUGGCCGGGCGACGGUUGUCCCGGUUUAAGCGUGUAGGCUGGUUUUCCAGGCAAAUCCGGAAAAUCAAGGCUGAGGCGUGAUGACGAGGCACUACGGUGCUGAAGCAACAAAUGCCCUGCUUCCAGGAAAAGCCUCUAAGCAUCAGGUAACAUCAAAUCGUACCCCAAACCGACACAGGUGGUCAGGUAGAGAAUACCAAGGCGCUUGAGAGAACUCGGGUGAAGGAACUAGGCAAAAUGGUGCCGUAACUUCGGGAGAAGGCACGCUGAUAUGUAGGUGAAGUCCCUCGCGGAUGGAGCUGAAAUCAGUCGAAGAUACCAGCUGGCUGCAACUGUUUAUUAAAAACACAGCACUGUGCAAACACGAAAGUGGACGUAUACGGUGUGACGCCUGCCCGGUGCCGGAA
rnacentral:rRNA from 1 species